rnacentral:rRNA from 1 species
ACGAACGCUGGCGGCGUGCUUAACACAUGCACGUCGAACGGAAAGGCCCUGCUUUUGUGGGGUGCUCGAGUGGCGAACGGGUGAGUAACACGUGAGUAACCUGCCCUUGACUUUGGGAUAACUUCAGGAAACUGGGGCUAAUACCGGAUAGGAGCUCCUGCUGCAUGGUGGGGGUUGGAAAGUUUCGGCGGUUGGGGAUGGACUCGCGGCUUAUCAGCUUGUUGGUGGGGUAGUGGCUUACCAAGGCUUUGACGGGUAGCCGGCCUGAGAGGGUGACCGGCCACAUGGGGACUGAGAGACGGCCCAGACGCCUACGGGAGGCAGCAGUGGGGAAUAUUGCACAAUGGGCGGAAGCCUGAUGCAGCAACGCCGCGUGCGGGAUGACGGCCUUCGGGUUGUAAACCGCUUUCGCCUGUGACGAAGCGUGAGUGACGGUAAUGGGUAAAGAAGCACCGGCUAACUACGU